rnacentral:rRNA from 1 species
AUUGAACGCUGGCGGCAUGCCUUACACAUGCAAAUCGAACGGUAACGGGCCUUCGGGUGCCGACGAGUGGCGCACGGGUGAGUAAUACAUCGGAACGUGCCCGAUCGUGGGGGAUAACGAGGCGAAAGCUUUGCUAAUACCGCAUACGAUCUACGGAUGAAAGCAGGGGACCGCAAGGCCUUGCGCGGACGGAGCGGCCGAUGGCAGAUUAGGUAGUUGGUGGGAUAAAAGCUUACCAAGCCGACGAUCUGUAGCUGGUCUGAGGGGAUGAUCAGCCACACUGGGACUGAGACACGGCCCAGACUCCUACGGGAGGCAGCAGUGGGGAAUUUUGGACAAUGGGCGCAAGCCUGAUCCAGCCAUGCCGCGUGCAGGAUGAAGGCCUUCGGGUUGUAAACUGAUUUUGUACGGAACGAAAAGCCUUCUUUUAAUACAGGAGGGUCAUGACGGUACCGUAAGAAUAAGCACCGGCUAACUACGUG